ACGGGAGGCAGCAGUGGGGAAUAUUGCACAAUGGGCGCAAGCCUGAUGCAGCGAUGCCGCGUGAGGGAAGAAGGUUUUCGGAUUGUAAACCUCUGUCAUCGGGGACGAUAAUGACUGUACCCGAGAAGGAAGCUCCGGCUAACUACGUGCCAGCAGCCGCGGUAAUACGUAGGGAGCGAGCGUUAUCCGGAAUUACUGGGUGUAAAGGGCGUGUAGCCGGGUCGGCAAGUCAGAUGUGAAAUCCAUGGGCUUAACUCAUGAACUGCAUUUGAAACUGUUGAUCUUGAGUAUCGGAGAGGCAAUCGGAAUUCCUUGUGUAGCGGUGAAAUGCGUAGAUAUAAGGAGGAACACCAGUGGCGAAGGCGGAUUGCUGGACGACAACUGACGGUGAGGCGCGAAAGCGUGGGGAGCAAACAGGAUUAGAUACCCUGGUA
rnacentral:rRNA from 1 species